AUCGCUUCUCGGCCUUUUGGCUAAGAUCAAGUGUGGUGUUAAUUGGUAAAUUGGUACACCCAUUUUGAAAACCAGUAUGGAGAUUUCUCAAAAAAAUAAAAUGGAACUUCCAUAUGGUUUAGCAAUC
ensembl:snRNA U2 U2 spliceosomal RNA